rnacentral:rRNA from 1 species
GCAGGCUGCAACUCGCCUGCAUGAAGUCGGAAUUGCUAGUAAUCGCGGAUCAGCAUGCCGCGGUGAAUACGUUCCCGGGCCUUGUACACACCGCCCGUCGCACCAUGAGAGCCGGGAACACCCGAAGUCCGUAGUCUAACCGGAAGGGGACGCGGCCGAAGGUGGGUUUGGUAAUUGGGGUGAAGUCGUAACAAGGUACC